GGUGGAAUACUUACUCUAGUUGAAACUGUUGAGGAUGGGUCACUCAUCAGCACAGAACACACUGUUGGGGCUUUGCUGUCAUUGUGUCAAAGCAGCCGAGACAAGUACAGGGAACUCAUUCUCAAAGAAGGCGCCAUUCCAGGCCUUUUAAGGUUAACUGCAGAGGGCACACCUCUAGCUCAGGAAAGAGCUAGAACACUUUUGGACUUGCUUCGAGACUCUCCUCCUGAAAAUAGGUUCUCAUCCUCCACAUUGAAGAGAAUAGUAUACGACUUCGCUGCACAAG
rnacentral:misc_RNA from 1 species